rnacentral:rRNA from 1 species
UGAUGGCGACCGGCGCGACGGGUGAGUAACGCCGUAUCCAACCUUCCCUAUAGUAGAGGAUAGCCCGGCGAAAGUCGGAUUAAUACUCUAUGUUUUCCGUUGCAGACAUCUAAGAUGGAACAAAGGCUUGCCGCUAUAGGAUGGGGAUGCGUCUGAUUAGGUAGUCGGCGGGGUAACGGCCCACCGAGCCAUCGAUCAGUAGGGGUUCUGAGAGGAAGGUCCCCCACAUUGGAACUGAGACACGGUCCAAACUCCUACGGGAGGCAGCAGUGAGGAAUAUUGGUCAAUGGGCGAGAGCCUGAACCAGCCAAAGUAGCGUGCAGGACGACGGCCCUACGGGUUGUAAACUGCUUUUAUGCGGGGAUAAAGUUCACUACGUGUAGUGUUUUGUAGGUACCGCAUGAAUAAGGACCGGCUAAUUCCGUGCCAGCCGCCGC